UACGAAGGGGGCUAGCGUUGCUCGGAAUUACUGGGCGUAAAGGGCGCGUAGGCGGCCCUGUUAGUCAGGCGUGAAAGUCCUGGGCUCAACCUGGGAACUGCGCUUGAUACGGCAGAGCUAGAGGAUGGAAGAGGCUCGCGGAAUUCCCAGUGUAGAGGUGAAAUUCGUAGAUAUUGGGAAGAACACCGGUGGCGAAGGCGGCGAGCUGGUCCAUUACUGACGCUGAGGCGCGACAGCGUGGGGAGCAAACAGG
rnacentral:rRNA from 1 species